AUUAAUAUCAUAUUUUGUACGAGCGUUCAGUUAUAUUUGUGACCUCUCUAUCAUAGUUUGUUCAAAGUAACUAACUGAUAACAGUUAAACAUUUGAGAAAUAGAAGAAUCAAGAGGAGAAACAGCGGAGAAAUUCUUGAUAAGAAUGAAAAAUCAUUGCUCAUGGUGAUCCCGAGAACGAUCGGAAAGUUGCGAUGCGGUUGCUCGUGAAUAGUUAUAUUUGUCGUGAAGUUUUUACCUCUCAGAGAGGAUGGAAAACUAUCCGAGUGAUGAACGGACGUCGAAGGGAUUGGCGGAGGUAUGAAGAGAGGGAAAACUAACAGUAGUAAAUACACAUGUAUGUCAAUUUACAUACAUGUGUGUAGAUAUACUGGGAGGCGUGACAAAAUGAUCGAGAUGAAAUAUCAUGCACCAGAAGCAUAUAUAAAGUACGUUGAACUAUUCGAGGAAAAUUCAGUUUGGAAUGUAAAACUGAAUUAUACAGAACUACAAACGUAUUGAUAAAUAAUCCAUGGAUUUGACGUGAAUUUUUUGUUAGCGAAUUCAAAUUCAGAGAGUAGACUGCUGCCGUCUCUGCGAACCUGUUUAUAACUAAAUUCAUAAUUGCAAUAUCAAUUAGAACUGGAAAAUAUCGGGGCAGAGAAGUACAUGUUUUUGUUCACUAUUUUGCACAUCAGCAUUUUUGUACUUUCGAAAAAUGUAAUUCAGCGGCUUCAAAAUGGCGACUGUUAUAAUAAAAAAUAUAAUACAAUAUGAACCAAACUACACAA
rnacentral:misc_RNA from 1 species